rnacentral:rRNA from 1 species
GUUGUUGGGUAGGGGAGCGUUCUGUAAGCCGUUGAAGGUGUGCUGUGAGGCAUGCUGGAGGUAUCAGAAGUGCGAAUGCUGACAUAAGUAACGAUAAAGCGGGUGAAAAGCCCGCUCGCCGGAAGACCAAGGGUUCCUGUCCAACGUUAAUCGGGGCAGGGUGAGUCGACCCCUAAGGCGAGGCCGAAAGGCGUAGUCGAUGGGAAACAGGUUAAUAUUCCUGUACUUGGUGUUACUGCGAAGGGGGGACGGAGAAGGCUAUGUUGGCCGGGCGACGGUUGUCCCGGUUUAAGCGUGUAGGCUGAUUUUCCAGGCAAAUCCGGAGAAUCAAGGCUGAGGCGUGAUGACGAGGCACUACGGUGCUGAAGCAACAAAUGCCCUGCUUCCAGGAAAAGCCUCUAAGCAUCAGGUAACAUCAAAUCGUACCCCAAACCGACACAGGUGGUCAGGUAGAGAAUACCAAGGCGCUUGAGAGAACUCGGGUGAAGGAACUAGGCAAAAUGGUGCCGUAACUUCGGGAGAAGGCACGCUGAUAUGUAGGUGAAGCGAC